CCUACGGGAGGCUGCAGUGAGGAAUAUUGGUCAAUGGACGAGAGUCUGAACCAGCCAAGUAGCGUGAAGGAUGACUGCCCUAUGGGUUGUAAACUUCUUUUAUAUGGGAAUAAAACGUUUCACGUGUGGGAUUUUGUAUGUACCAUAUGAAUAAGGAUCGGCUAACUCCGUGCCAGCAGCCGCGGUAAUACGGAGGAUCCGAGCGUUAUCCGGAUUUAUUGGGUUUAAAGGGAGCGUAGGUGGAUUGUUAAGUCAGUUGUGAAAGUUUGCGGCUCAACCGUAAAAUUGCAGUUGAAACUGGCAGUCUUGAGUACAGUAGAGGUGGGCGGAAUUCGUGGUGUAGCGGUGAAAUGCUUAGAUAUCACGAAGUACUCCGAUUGCGAAGGCAGUUCACUGGACUGCAACUGACACUGAGGCUCGAAAGUGUGGGUAUCAAACAGGAUUAGAUACCCCAGUAGUC
rnacentral:rRNA from 1 species